AUAAUUUAUCAAUAGAUGGCUACACUGUUUAGUGUUUAGUGGAUCGUCUGCAGUAGAAAUUCAUCGUUCAUCAGAUGUCAGGAUGUGGCCUAGUUGUUAGGGAUUCGAGGCGUGUUCAGCGAGGGGAUCAUUUUCAGUGCGUUCCGUUUUAAAAAUUCUUUUGGCUACUGGUUGGAAUAGACUAAAAUUUGUUAUGACGUCACUGAAAUAACCAUUCGUCUGAAGUGCGCCACCGCCAUUGUCAACACGAAUCAUCUUCUGAUACGUUGUCCGGUUUUAAAAAAUCUUCUUGUUUUAUUACUUUAAUGUAUUUUUGUAAUUCCUUGGCCCUUGACACUAUCUAACCAACAAAGAAACCGCCUUUUUCACGUUACUCUUACCAAUUUUUACAUACUCGUACAUUAGUUGGUUAUAGAAAACAUCUUGCCAUUAACACGAAUAUCUUUGUCUGAUCUGAUCGUGUCAACAUGCUAAUCCAAUCUUGCCACUGGCCGAAGCCUUUUUUUCAAAUUUUGCAUCCUUCCAUUUAAAGAUAUCUAAUACAAGCAUUCUGGCAUGUGUCAGGCAAUAGGGUACAGGAAUCGCAUGGUCCCUUUUAGGUGUCGGGCCUGGCCCACACCCUCUGUAAUUGAAACUGUAUUGGUAAAAGUAAUUACAUGGAGGUAGAGUGUCAAUUUGGGACUUGAUUUGUCAUCUGUUGGUCAAGGUGGAAAAACAGGGAUUGGAUCAACAAUUUUAUUCCCACACUCACCUUUGGAAUUCUUGGAUCGUAGCUGUUGUUGCAGGACACUCUCCUUGUUUGGGACUUGAUUUGUUACCAUUUGUCGAUUUGGAAAAACAGGGAUUGGACCAACCAUUUUAUUCCCACACUUAUCAUUGGAAUUCUGGUAUGGUAGCUGUUGUUGCAGGACACUUCUUGGUUUGUUAGUGAGGUUCCAGAAAGCAGCAUUCCAAGAGCAAGAAUCUAGUUUACAGGCUAUUAACACAAUCUAUAAUGUUUAACUUUGUUUUCCUGCCUUGAUGGUGAAAUUGAAUUAUAUUGGAAUUUAAAAAUUUGA
rnacentral:lncRNA from 1 species